rnacentral:lncRNA from 1 species
GUGCGGCGCAUAUGAGUCAGAUGGUCUGUGUGGAGCUCCUACCGUUUAGUAGAAAUUUAGUGAGCACGUGUGCAACAUUGUCUCUGAAUUGUGCUGUGUGUUUUUUGUUGUUUUUAGUCGAUGUUCUCAUUGAAGUAUUUUGGUUCCUAUCUUUCGAUUAUACAUAAUCGGAACCUGAUAACAAGUAAUGCAAGGAAAAAUAUAAGGAAAACGCAAUCCAGGCCGUAGGAUAAUGUCAUGGUUGCUGAAUUUGAGAGAGUGGUUUGGCUGCCUAGUGAUGUAAAAUUUCCGGGAAGAUUCAAACGCCGGAAAGUUUCCGGAAACUUUCAGGGAAUUUUGGAAGCUUUUGAAAACUUGAAAAUAUUGUAUUUUUAUUUAAAUUAUUAAUAAAUUAGACAAAUCUGUA